rnacentral:rRNA from 1 species
AUUGAACGCUGGCGGCAGGCCUAACACAUGCAAGUCGAGCGGAUGAGUGGAGCUUGCUCCAUGAUUCAGCGGCGGACGGGUGAGUAAUGCCUAGGAAUCUGCCUGGUAGUGGGGGACAACGUUUCGAAAGGAACGCUAAUACCGCAUACGUCCUACGGGAGAAAGUGGGGGAUCCUCGGACCUCACGCUAUCAGAUGAGCCUAGGUCGGAUUAGCUAGUUGGUGAGGUAAAGGCUCACCAAGGCGACGAUCCGUAACUGGUCUGAGAGGAUGAUCAGUCAAACUGGAAGUGGGACACGGUCCAGACUCUUACGGGGGGCAGCAGUGGGGAAUAUUGGACCAUGGGGGAAAGCGUGAUCCAGCCAUGCCGUGUGUGUGAAGAAGGUCUUCGGAUUGUAAAGCUCUUUAAGUUGGGAGGAAGGGCAGUAAGUUAAUACCUUGCUGUUUUGACGUUACCAACAGAAUAAGCACCGGCUAACUUCGUGCCAGCCGCCGCCGUAAAAC